CGCGCGCGCCCGCCCCGCCGUCGCUUCCCCGUCCCGCGGCUCCAUCCCGUGGCCCGUCGCCGGCAAGCCGCCGGCUGCGAGGAAGAAGGCAGGCGCGGCGCUCGGCACACCACUGGUUCGGGGCUCCUGAUCUGCUUUCUGUUUUAAAAAAAUUUCCCGGUGCUGGGUUCAGGAUUUUUACAGUUACUGUUGGAGGCGGGUUGAUAGGAUUUGGAUCUGCGCGAACGGGAGUUUUAGGGAGGGAGGGAGGGAGCAGAUUCAGGAAUCCGCAUGAUUGAUUAGCUGAUGGUCAGGGUAGGAGAAGUAGGACGAUUAGCGGAAUGGUAUCGAGGCCGCCCCUGUAGCUAGAUCUCGUCGCCUGGGGAGAGGAGGCGCGGUUGGAUCGCUCCGCUGCCUUGGCCCUGGAGAACUGCCUUCGCUUGGGGAUGCGAGAUGAAGGCAGCUGGGCUGCUUGAUUCAAGUCAAAUUAGCACGGGGCUGAUUCUGAAUUCCUAAUAGCUACAGUACUACAGACAGCCAUAUAUUCAGGCUAUGGUUCAGAGUCUGCAUUGCAUGAAGAGAACUGAAUGAUGGUAGUUCAGUACAAACCAAGCAGGCUGUUAAUCCCAACAACAGAAUUUACAACAAGAAGCUUGAGUGAUGUAUUUCCUGAAUGCCUUGGUAUUUUUCAGUUAGUUCUAGAGGGAUCAGUUGCUAGUUUGUAGCAUUAGAGAAUUGUGAAGCGAAGGACGGAAAUCAUGGAUUAAGAAUAGAAGAUGGUAUUGAGUAUUGCACAAUUAAUAUAACCGUGGUAUAUAAUCGUCGACCAUCAUUCAGUUCUAAAGAAGUUCAGUAAAUGUGUACGUCCCAUUCUGUAAAUACAAUAUUUUACAAACAAUUUAGAUACAACAACCUGAUCUUUGUUUUCCUUUUCACAAGAAGCUAUUUUUGGCUUACAUGAAGGGAUGCAUGCUGUUCAUCUUGCAGGUAUGACUCAUCCUCGCAUUCUUACUUCGCCUUUGUUUCCUUCAGCUUCUUGAUCCUGAAAUUUUAAGAUAAAUUGGAAGUACUCAGUAUCAUGUUCUUAAGCAAAGCUACUGUUUUUUGGUUGAAUUAUAGUGUUUUCUCUGACCUAUGUAUAGUGUCAAUAAAAAUCUAAAUUACAAGAUGGAGAUACAUUUUUUGGUGGCAUCUUACAUCACAGUAAUUUACAACCAAGAUAGGCCUACAAUGUCUUUUUGAUAGCAACGAUAAUGCAUAGCUGCAGAUUUUGUCGAAUACACAUAUGUAUUUUGUAUGCAUGACAAAUACUGGGGUAAAAUAGAAUAACAAGUAAAUCAUUUAUUUUGUCUUCAUAUUUACUUGAAGGACUGCAUGUUCUUCAUCUUUGUAUGCACCAUGUAUUUGCUUGUAAGCUUCAGUAGUGUCAUCUAUCUAGUCUGAUUUAUACACUACAUUCCUAAGCUGAAAUAUUUUUUGUAACUGAAAUAUAUAGUUUGAGUUUCAUUCAGUUAUUUUUCACUUUUUAACUGAAUAUCUUUUUGUAACUGAAAUAUACCUGCACUUACAAUGCCUUACUCAUAGGGUUUCUUUGUAACUGAAAUAUAAGCUCUGUCCAGUAAGCAUUUCUUCACCCUUGGGCAACUUUGCACAAAUGGACUGUGUAUUACACUCCAAGUGCUUCUUUUUGUUAUGGAUAGUUCGGUCUAUGAACCAUGUGAUCAAUGUUUGAUUUCAUACUGCUGUAUCGUUGUCCUUUGCUGCAUUUGAUGGACUUGUAAACUAUCUCUGCAGCACAAAAUUUGACCAUGGAGAUGACUAACAUGGCUUCUCUGUCUUAUGCUCUAUUUGUCAGUGAAAAAUCUUGCACCUUGACCGACAGAAUUAAGAGGGACUAGAAUGGGGAAGGACCUCUGCUAUAUCACGAUGGAACUGGUUACUUGAAUGGCAAUGGAUAAAAUCUACUUUGGAGAGUUGACAGAGGGAGCACAUGCUAAGUUGACUUUUUCCUAUGGAUUUGCUUAUCGUGAAGAUGCUUGCAAGGAUGCAAAGGGAGCAGAUCAUUUGGAGAGAUGCCACUGUUUGGUGUUUUUAUACAUUUUGGUUUGCUUGUAACUGUGUUUGCACUAGCUGGGAGUAAGUGACUUGGCAAGAAGUGUAGGUGUUUUAAUUGAAGGCCUGAAAACCAUGACAAUUUUGUAUGCUGUUACAGUAUGUGCUCUAAUGUCGCUGGUUUAUUAUAAAUCUUGGAUUAGUAAUGGUGUGUAAUGCUGCUGGUUUAUUGCAAAUAUGUGUUUGUUUUA